ensembl:misc_RNA
UUGACAGCCCUGGAGACUGCUGCCUUCUGUGUAUCCACAGAAUGGGUACAACGGGGGCAUCAGCAGGGAAAGCUUCCCCACACUGAGCCCAGCCAAUGUGCCCUGCCCUGGAGGGGCCACACAUCCUAGAGCUGAAAGACUAGUUCAGACUCCCUCAGCUCCCACUGAAUUCUUGGGUUCU